AAUGGAGGCAACUCUGAUCCAGCCAUGCCGCGUUGUAGGAAGACUGCCCUAUGGGUUGUAAACUACUUUUAUAUGGGAAGAAUAAGGUCUACGUGUAGACUGAUGACGGUACCAUAAGAAUAAGCACCGGCUAACUCCGUGCCAGCAGCCGCGGAAAU
rnacentral:rRNA from 1 species